UCUCGGCCUCUCUCUCUCUUUCUCUUGGCUUUGCCCGAGCAUGACGGCGAUUGGUGAGCUCGGGACCACGGAUAGGGUAUUUAUACCGACGGCCAAGCCUAUAUUGGCGGCGGAUUCACGGGCAGUUGAAGCAGUCUGCGAGCUCAUCGGUGAGGACGAGGAUUGCGGCAAGUGGUUGUAACAACCUGCCCCACGGAGUCCGCGCGGAUUCCGCGCCGUUGGCGACCGCGAGGAUGAAGGCACGGUUGAACGAUCUCCGCCCGCGCGUUCUGUUGCGGCGAAGAAGGGAAGUGAUGACAUGCGGGUCCCACAUGUCAGUGUGACGCCAAGAGAGGAGGAGCUGGGCUGCGCAGGUCAAUGAAGCAAAUGGGCCGAAUUCAGGCAGAAACGGCCCACUAAGCCUCAUUAUUCUUUUCUUUUUAUAUUUUCUGUUCUCUGUUUUCUUUUCUUUUUAUUUUUAAAUUCCCAAUUUGAAAUUCGAAUUUUUGUGGCAAGUUUGUUCUCAGAUCAAAUAUGAAAUCUUGAAUAUUCUAGUAUGGGAUGAAUCCAUUGUUUAUAAAUUUAUUUUUUUUUUCAUCGUUUAGUUUCCUUUAUACUAUUUCCAAUUUUCUAAGAUUUGAAUUAGGUUUUAAUCCCUAAUUCCCAUUCUUAAAGUAACCCUAUUAAUAUUAUCAUUAUUAUUAAAUGCACAAACAAUUAACUCCAGCAUGAUGCAUGAUUUAUUUUAUAAGUGGUUGGCUAAUCAAUCAUUUUAAAGAUGGUUGUUCACAUGUUUUAAGAAAUAGAGACAUAUCACAUAAGAGGAUUAAUUCUUUUCAUAUGAUUUACAAACUUGGGUACUACAAAUCCUACCCCCCUUAAAAAUAAUCUCGUCCUCGAGAUUAGUAAGAAAGGGGAUCCAACAAGCUUGGUUUGUAGUCUAUGCUUUAGUUUCUAGUUGGUUUUAAUACCAAAAGAUUUUUUUUUUAAUAUCACAAAUUAUCAUGUGAUUAGGAAAGCAUGGGUAUAUAUAUAGCUACUUUAUUAUGUAGAAUAAAAGAUGUAUCCAAAGCAUGGAUAGGUUUGGGUAGGGUAAGGAAGGACUCCAUCCUAGAUUGUGGAUCUUGACUCAUCUUGGUGAUCCCGCUUGAUCCUUGAAGACUUGAGUUGGUGCUUAUCCUUUCUUGAUGAGGUUGAUCAUCUUCAGUCUCCAAUCUUGGUGUCUCCAUCUGAGCUAGGGAGAUAUAGUUAAGAUAGUUGGAGUCUAUGGGGGAUACAUUGUUUUUAAUCAAUAGGUUCACAUAGAUGGAUUAUGUAACUUAUUGGGAGUGUAUGGCUAAGUUGAUCUACGGCACUAACUUAGGCUUAAGUGACUUAGGUGUAUGGUUUUAUCCUUCGUACUAGCAUUAAGUAACUCACACUUAGAUUAGAUCAUAUUGGAUUAGAUCAGAUCUCAAUUAGAUUGGAUAUGAUUAGAUUAGACUGGGUAAGAUCUAAAUAAACUGUGGAUUAGCUCAAGGUUGUUAUUCUAGAGUGGGAUAAAUAUGCUAAUUAGGGCAAGAUGAAUCCAUAAGAAUAAGGUAGAAUCUUUUGAGGUCAGUUAGAUCUAUUAGGAUGAGAUAAAAUCUUAAUUUGGAUAAGUUAGGAUCAUUUUGAGAUAAGAUGAGAUGGACAUCGUUUAGGCUAGAUACUUUAAUAAGAGAUAAUCCAGUUUGUCUAGUUAUUUUGAUGAACAUUUUUUUCCAUAUGUAUAUGCAGAUGUAAUUGUGGGCAUUACUCCACAACUCAUCACACUCAAUCAAAGAUCCAAAUCAGACAAGUAUCAUAAGAACAAACAUUCAAGUGCAUAGAUACACACAUAAAAAAAUAAUUUUGUUUUUUUUUUAUUCCUAAGGGUAGGUCUCUUAUUCCUAAAGGUCACUUUAGGUACAGGAUUUCAAAGUGUGAAAUCCAAGUUUGUCUUUAGAAGGAAAAGGUAAGGAUAAUCAGAGUAAAGCGGAAAUUGAUGAGAAAAGAUUAAGAAAAGUUCAAAAAAGAAUCAGAGUAGCAAAGGUAAGUAGAUAAUGGUUGUCCAGUUCUAUCUAGGUUUCGUCCUACAGUCAACAUUCCUCUGAUACCACUUCUGUAACACCCGGGUUUUAGGGGUCCAAAGCCCGGGCGUAAACAUAAUCACCAGGUGUGCUGGGACCAAGUCUCACACAUAUGAUGAAUCAUGGCACAGGAUCGAAUGUCACAUCUUUACUAUAUAAUAGGAGUUCUAUACAAAAUAAAUAAUUACAUUAUAAGGAGACAACGGUCCAGCAACCCAAAGUUGACUGGGAGACGACGACCUAGACCACUCACGAACUCAUCACAGCAUCCUCCACGCGCCUCAUCCUGCGGUACCUGUUCUUAACCUGUGGGGGGGGUGUGAGACAGCAAGAGUGAGCUCACAUACGUUCAUCGCUCAACAAGUUGUGGGGAAUAAUGUGAAUGAACUCGCCAAAGGUGGGAGUUCAUGUGAAGUGUAAGGCUUACCAAAAGAGGAUGGUUAGAGCUGAGCAUUGCUUUUAAAGUUGGUCAAAAUUUUAUUAGCAAUUACUAAGUAUAAGUAAAUACCAACCCAAUUAAGUAGUAGAACAAAAGUAACAACCUCACCUGCGAUGCAAUGCAUAUGACAAAUUGAGUUUAAGUUCCAUAAAUUAAUCAUGUGAGUGUCCGAGCCGCUCAUGACCGUGAGCACGGCUAGUAUACCAGUUUUACACUCUGCAGAGGUUGCGCAUCUUUACCCACAAGUCAUGUUACCCAUCUGCCAAGGGAUCGCGACUUCCCAUACACCUCUACCGAGGAGGCGAGGCAGGGUAACACUACGAGGCCUUUACAAAGUUCCACUAGCUUCAGAAAACCCGCUACAGUUUAUAGGAAGCUCCAAUGCAGGAAUCCCUUGCAGGACCGCCAUCACAGCAAAAUCCUCCCGAGGGCCUCCCCAGGAAUCCCUUGCAGGACCGCCAUCACAGCAAAAUCCUCCCGAGGGCCUUCCCAGGAAUCCCUUGCAGGACCGCCAUCACAGCAAAAUCCUCCCGAGGGCCUCCCUACACUGACCACUCCCCUACUGCCCUUGCCCCUUUCGGGUAAGGUAGUCCUCCACUAGCUUUCCUAAUUAAUCGGCCAAGGGCGUCCCAUUAAACCCUUGUGGUAGCACUGUUUUCCCGGGUGGUUCUCCAUGUUCCAAUUAACAUAAUGAUCUUAACAUGAACAAUAAAUAACAACUGAUAACAAAAGUAUAAUCAUGAGUAAUGUAUCUUCAUACCCAAAACCACAUAAAGCACUAGCAAGUACUACCCAAAAAGUUCAGUGGUAACAAGGUAUAAAGAUAAUCAAACUAGGGUAACCUAUUGGGUCCCAUCAAAAUUAACCUAUGCAGAUCAUUAUGAUUAAUUAGAACAUGAGUGGGUAAAAAGAAGUGAUCAAGGGCACAACUUGCCUGGCACUUGAGAUUCCAGGUACCAACUUGCUCUUCAGAUGACACGUGUCCUCACCGCUAAACGUAGCAAUACAGACAAACAUGUAUAGGCAAAAUUAACAUCACACCAAACAUAACAAUAAACUGCGUAAUAAUAAUCUACGCGAAGCUACGAGACUAACGCAACUUGAACGGAUCAAAUCGUAAUCAUAGAUUUUAAGUUAUGAAUUUCUAAAGAUUUUAUUGUACUUGAUAUGGGAUUGAUUAAGAGAUCAAUUUUAUUAUUAUUUUCAUGUAAAAACAGAGGCAAUAGAUGAUAAACAACAUUGUUACCAAAUUAUAGGGACUGAAAUGGGUCAAUUUGGACCAAGUAUGCAUUUUCUAUGAAUUAAACAAAUUCUAGCAUUUAUUUUUGCAUAAAAAUCAUUUUAUAAUUCCUUUUAUCUGAUUUCUUAACUCCUUGGACUGGGCGCACAAAACCAGAGGACUGCAGGGGGCUCUGCGCAAUGCUUCCUAGACUCAAAGAACAGCACCCGAGGAUUGCGGGUUGUUUUUAAAUAAACAGAGGGGCUCGUUUGCAAAAGAUACCCGCGAAGGGGUAUCCAGGGUUUCAGGCCGUCCGAUCCAAAAUGGGUGCACAGGAUUAGAUCCCUGCCAUUAUACACUAGCAUGCGAAUUCAACCGUCGGAUGCCCGAUCAACGGAUUGGAUUAAAAAUGACCGAGACGCACUAUCACCCGACCGAUCCCCAUCCGAUGGCUCUGAUUAACUUCGCGAAGGGGUACGCAUAUAAUCUAAUCGCAGCCGUCGCUGGUCAUCCAACGGCCCACGAUCCUCGCCCCAACAGGGCACGCACGCACGGCGGCGCUGCCCCGCACGCUCGGCGGAGCACGCCGGCGAGGCCUCCAAUCGGCCGAACCCAAACGCCAAAUCCAAAUUGGAUCGAGCUACACGUAAAAGAGGACUUGGCGAGCACGGUGCAGGGAUCCAUACCGAGUAUUAUGCGGCGCAGGGGACCAAUCCACUACGCGCUGUGCUCCGCGGCGGAUGAAGAAGGACGGCGAGCAAUUCCUCGGCCAUCGCUUGCAGAUUCCGCCCGGCACGAGAGCCAGGCACUGUGUCCGCCAUGGCCACAUGGCCGAGGCCCCAGACGAAGCUCCACAUCGACGCGUAGCAGGAGGACUCCCCUGCGGCGACCCUGCUUUCUUUUCUCUCUGCGCAUGGUGACAGAGCAGUGCCGUCGGUGAGCGGUCCGCGCGCGGCCAGCUCACAGUGGAGACGUCAUCCCUCCUCCUUCUCUCUCUUCGCUCUCGGCCUCUCUCUCUCUUUCUCUUGGCUUUGCCCGAGCAUGACGGCGAUUGGUGAGCUCGGGACCACGGAUAGGGUAUUUAUACCGACGGCCAAGCCUAUAUUGGCGGCGGAUUCACGGGCAGUUGAAGCAAUCUGCGAGCUCAUCGGUGAGGACGAGGAUUGCGGCAAGUGGUUGUAACAACCUGCCCCACGGAGUCCGCGCGGAUUCCGCGCCGUUGGCGACCGCGAGGAUGAAGGCACGGUUGAACGAUCUCCGCCCGCGCGUUCUGUUGCGGCGAAGAAGGGAAGUGAUGACAUGCAGGUCCCACAUGUCAGUGUGACGCCAAGAGAGGAGGAGCUGGGCUGCGC
rnacentral:lncRNA from 1 species